UAAGCUACUUUCCUUUUUUUCGUUUUCGUUCUCACUUCUCCCUCUCUGAGCUCUCUCCGACUCUCCCUCUCUCGCCUCUCGGUCUCUCCAACUUCUCCUUCUCUAGUUCUCCCAUCUGGUCGUCUCCGACGUCUGCAGGGGGAGUCUCCGAUGUCUGCAGGAGGAACCAGUCGUCCGCGGCCGUGGGCCAUUUCAGCCUUCAGCCUUCAAGGGGGAGUCUCCGACGUCGACACUCGACAGCCACUCUGAACAAGUGGACUUUGUGACUUUGGAGGCUUGGAGCACAACAUCGUUAACGCCUUUAAAAAGACCGACGAUUCUUUCGUGUUCACUUAUAAAAGCCGCGUCAUUCACUCAGCCACUCCUCGGGCGGGAGGAAGAGGAAAGGGAGAGGAGACGCAAGAACUUGUGAGAAAGAGCACGGGCGACAGGAGGUACAUGUCAAUGGCUUCUGGGACCUUGCACAGUGAAUUCCAUUGAACUUUCAGACGGUUCAUCUUGCAGCAGUGGGAUGCUGGGGAUAUGUCCAAGGGAAGCGGUACUUAUAUAGGGAAGUUGAGGUGAGUUCUAAUAUCAAAAUCGUUCUUCACUGAAGACCAAUGGCUGAAGACCAAUGGCCAAUGGGCUGGUUUCUCUGCUGAAGAAACAGGGGACCAAGGAGAAUGCAUUGUGUUAUGGAUGCCAUUCCAGCAACAACAAUUGAACCUCGUUGCCCCAACACAGACUGAGUUUCUGCUCAGUGGCCUUGACUCCUUCUCAUCAUAUCCUUUUUUCAGAUCUAAGUCUAUUCACUUAGGUUCAUUCUACAUGGUUGUAGCCAUCAAGCAGCUUGACCGCAAUGGGUUGCAAGGAAACAGGGAAUUCCUUGUUGAGGUUUUGAUGCUAAGUCUACUUCAUCACAGUAACCUUGUUAAUCAGAUCGGGUAUUGUGCUGAUGGGGUUCAGAGAUUGUUGGUUUAAUGGUUUAUGAAUAUAUGCCACUAGGAUCAUGGGAAGAUCAUCUACAUGAUCUUCUGAUAAAAAACGACUGGACUGGAAUACUAGAAUGAAAAUUGCAGCUGGUGCAGCGAAAGGAUUGGAAUAUUUGCAUGACAAUGUAAUAUACCGUGACAAGAAAUGCUCAAAGAUUCUGUUUUUUAUAUGUUUCUCUAAGCCAAGGAGAAGGCUAUUGCACAUCUGAAAUGUUGUCACAUAGCUUGCAAAGUAAUUAGGUGAAGUUGCAACCUUUUUUUCA